rnacentral:rRNA from 1 species
UAGGGAAUUUUCGUCAAUGGGGGGAACCCUGAACGAGCAAUGCCGCGUGUGUGAAGAAGGUCUUCGGAUCGUAAAGCACUGUUGUAAGUGAAGAAUGCCACAUAGAGGAAAAUGCUAUGUGGGUGACGGUAGCUUACCAGAAAGCCACGGCUAACUACGUGCCAGCAGCCGCGGUAAUACGUAGGUGGCAAGCGUUAUCCGGAAUCAUUGGGCGUAAAGGGUGCGUAGGUGGCACGAUAAGUCUGAAGUAAAAGGCAACAGCUCAACUGUUGUAUGCUUUGGAAACUGUCGAGCUAGAGUGCAGAAGAGGGCGAUGGAAUUCCAUGUGUAGCGGUAAAAUGCGUAGAUAUAUGGAGGAACACCAGUGGCGAAGGCGGUCGCCUGGUCUGUAACUGACACUGAUGCACGAAAGCGUGGGGAGCAAAUAGGAUUAGAUACC